GAGACUGUAGCUCAGUCGGUAGAGCAACGGACUUUUAAUCCGUAGGUCCUGGGUUCGAGCCCCAGCAGUCUCA
rnacentral:tRNA from 1 species